rnacentral:tRNA from 1 species
GCCUGACUGGCUCAGUCGGUGGAGCAUGCGACUCUGGAUCUUGGGGUUGUGAGUUUGAGCCCCACGUUGGGUG